AACGAACGCUGGCGGCAGGCCUAACACAUGCAAGUCGAGCGCGCCCUUCGGGGUGAGCGGCGGACGGGUGAGUAACGCGUGGGAACGUGCCCUUUUCUACGGAAUAGCCUCGGGAAACUGAGAGUAAUACCGUAUACGCCCUUUGGGGGAAAGAUUUAUCGGAAAAGGAUCGGCCCGCGUUGGAUUAGGUAGUUGGUGGGGUAAUGGCCUACCAAGCCGACGAUCCAUAGCUGGUUUGAGAGGAUGAUCAGCCACACUGGGACUGAGACACGGCCCAGACUCCCACGGGAGGCAGCAGUGGGGAAUCUUAGACGAUGGGGGCAACCCUGAUCUAGCCAUGCCGCGUGAGUGAUGAAGGCCUUAGGGUUGUCAAGCUCUCUCAGCUGGGAAGAUAAUGACGGUACCAGCAGAAGAAGCCCCGGCUAACUCCGUG
rnacentral:rRNA from 1 species